rnacentral:snRNA from 1 species
AUCGCUUCUUAGCCUUUUGGGCUAAGAUUGAGUGUAAUAUCUGUUCUUAUCAGUUUAAAAAAUUAACAGAAAAGUAUAAGAAUUAUACUUUUAUAAUAAAAGCAUAAGAACAUUU